rnacentral:rRNA from 1 species
UACGGGGGGGGCAAGCGUUGUUCGGAAUUACUGGGCGUAAAGGGCUCGUAGGUGGCCAACUAAGUCAGACGUGAAAUCCCUCAGCUUAACUGGGGAACUGCGUCUGAUACUGGAUGGCUUGAGUUUGGGAGAGGGAUGCGGAAUUCCAGGUGUAGCGGUGAAAUGCGUAGAUAUCGGAAGGAACACCAGUGGCGAAAGCGGCUUCCUGGUCCAGCACCGACGUCAGGCACGAAAGCGUGGGAG